CUUCAACGUGCGUCAGAAAAGGGGCUGUUUGUAAAACCCAGAUCAGGCUUCCCUGGCUUUGAACCCUGUGAGCUGAAGGCAAAACCCUGAAGACUACCUGAAGAAGGAGAACAUGCCUUUACAACAUGACUUGAAUGCUGACCACAUUGUGUUGCUACCAAAUAUAUGUUGGCCCAUUAAAUUCUU